AAGCGGCAAAAGCUCAAAUUUGAAAUCUGGUACCUUUCGGUGCCCGAGUUGUAAUUUGGAGAAAGUGAUUCUGGGACUGGCCCUUGCCUAUGUUCCUUGGAACAGGACGUCAUAGAGGGUGAGAACCCCGUGAGGCGAGGUGAUCCAGUUCUUUGUAGAACGCUUUCGAAGAGUCGAGUUGUUUGGGAAUGCAGCUCUAAGUGGGUGGUAAAUUCCAUCUAAAGCUAAAUACAGGCGAGAGACCGAUAGCGAACAAGUACAGUGAUGGAAAGAUGAAAAGAACUUUGAAAAGAGAGUGAAAAAGGACGUGAAAUUGUUGAAAGGGAAGGGCAUUUGAUCAGACAUGGUGUUUUGUGCCCCUCGCUCCUCGUGGGUGGGGGAAUCUCGCAGCUCACUGGGCCAGCAUCAGUUUUGGCGGCAGGAUAAAUCUCUGGGAAUGUGGCUUCUUUCUUCGGGAGGGAGUGUUAUAGCCCAGGGGAAUACUGCCAGCUGGGACUGAGGUAUGCGAC
rnacentral:rRNA from 1 species